CCUACGGGAGGCUGCAGUGAGGAAUAUUGGUCAAUGGACGAGAGUCUGAACCAGCCAAGUAGCGUGAAGGAUGACUGCCCUAUGGGUUGUAAACUUCUUUUAUAUGGGAAUAAAAUGUUCCACGUGUGGGAUUUUGUAUGUACCAUAUGAAUAAGGAUCGGCUAACUCCGUGCCAGCAGCCGCGGUAAUACGGAGGAUCCGAGCGUUAUCCGGAUUUAUUGGGUUUAAAGGGAGCGUAGGUGGAUUGUUAAGUCAGUUGUGAAAGUUUGCGGCUCAACCGUAAAAUUGCAGCUGAAACUGGCAGUCUUGAGUACAGUAGAGGUGGGCGGAAUUCGUGGUGUAGCGGUGAAAUGCUUAGAUAUCACGAAGAACUCCGAUUGCGAAGGCAGUUCACUGGACUGCAACUGACACUGAGGCUCGAAAGUGUGGGUAUCAAACAGGAUUAGAUACCCGAGUAGUC
rnacentral:rRNA from 1 species